rnacentral:rRNA from 1 species
CCUACGGAAGUCAGCAGUGAGGAAUAUUGGUCAAUGGCCGAGAGGCUGAACCAGCCAAGUCGCGUGAGGGAAGACGGCCCUACGGGUUGUAAACCUCUUUUGUCGGGGAGCAAAGCGAACCACGUGUGGUUCAUUGAGAUUACCCGAAGAAAAAGCAUCGGCUAACUCAGUGCCAUCAGCCGCGGUAAUACGGAGGAUGCGAGCGUUAUCCGGAUUUAUUGGGGUUAAAGGGUGCGCAGGCGGAGGUGCAAGUCAGCGGUCAAAUUGCGGGGCUCAGCCCCGUACUGCCGUUGAAACUGCAUUCCGUGAGUGCGAGAGAAGUAUGCGGAAUGCGGGGUGUAGGAGUGAAAUGCAUAG